UGCCUUUGACAUCCCUGACAUUGAUGCGAA
rnacentral:piRNA from 1 species